AUGUUUCUGUGCAGCACCUGUGAGUUCCCUGUGCUGCUGCUUCUACACUGGAGUGAGUGUGAUCAGCAGUGGCCCUCACUCUGCCCUCCCCUAGAGGAGGGUGCAGUGCAAACCUCCCACAGCUUUAAAUGGAGCCAGUGUCAGUGUGAGAAGCAGAGCAGCAGUCAAUGGGACUCAGUCUGUACUUUAACUCAGCACUCCUCCUUCUCUCCUGCAGCCAUGAAGCUCCUACCAGCCCUGCUGCACCUCACAGCUCUCACUCUCUCAGGUGUUCAGAGUGAGAUUGUCCUGAUAGAAUCUGAAGCAGUGGUAAAGAGACCAGGAGACUCUCACAAACUGACCUGUACAGCCUCUGGGUUCACAUUCAGCAGCUACUGGAUGCACUGGAUCAGACAGGCUCCUGGGAAGGGACUGGAGUGGUUGGCCUGUGAUGGUGGUUAUGCCAAUACUGUUAAGGGAAGAUUCACCUUCUCCCGAGACAACAGCAAGAACCAGCUGUAUUUACAGAUGAACAGCCUGACAGCUGAAGACACUGCUGUGUAUUACUGUGCCAGCACAGUGUCUUUACAAGGGAGCAGCCUGCAGACUGGAGACACGGCUGUGUAUUACUGUGCCCGA